GAUGAAGAACGUAGCGAAAUGCGAUACGUAAUGUGAAUUGCAGAAUUCAGUGAAUCAUCGAAUCUUUGGACGCACAUUGCGCCCGCCAGCACUCUGGCGGGCAUGCCUGUUCGAGCGUCAUUUCAACCAUCAAGCCCCAGGCUUGCGUUGGAGCCCUGCGGCUGCCGCAGCCUCCUAAAAGCAGUGGCGGGCUCGCUAUCACACCGAGUGCAGUAGAUUACUCUUCGCUCAGGGCGUGCAGCGGGUUCCGGCCGUGAAACCCCCUACUUUUAAAGGUUGACCUCGGAUCAGGUAGGAAUACCCGCUGAACUUAAGCAUAUCAAUAAGCGGAGGA
rnacentral:misc_RNA from 1 species